GAUGAACGCUAGCGGCAGGCUUAAUACAUGCAAGUCGUGGGGCAGCAGGUUUGUAGCAAUACAGAUGCUGGCGACCGGCAAACGGGUGCGGAACACGUACAGAACCUUCCUUUGAGCGGGGAAUAGCCCAGAGAAAUUUGGAUUAAUACCCCAUAGUAUAAUGAAGUGGCAUCACUUUAUUAUUAAAGAUUUAUCACUCGAAGAUGGCUGUGCGGCUGAUUAGGUAGUUGGCGGGGUAAAGGCCCACCAAGCCUGCGAUCAGUAACUGGUGUGAGAGCACGACCAGUCACACGGGCACUGAGACACGGGCCCGACUCCUACGGGAGCAGCAGUAAGAAUAUGGUCAAUGGAGGCAACUCUGAACCAGCCAUGCCGCGU
rnacentral:rRNA from 1 species